rnacentral:rRNA from 1 species
ACGGAGGGGGCUAGCGUUGUUCGGAAUUACUGGGCGUAAAGAGCUCGUAGGUGGUUUGUCGCGUUGUUCGUGAAAACUCACAGCUUAACUGUGGGCGUGCGGGCGAUACGGGCAGACUGGAGUACUGCAGGGGAGACUGGAAUUCCUGGUGUAGCGGUGGAAUGCGCAGAUAUCAGGAGGAACACCGGUGGCGAAGGCGGGUCUCUGGGCAGUAACUGACGCUGAGGAGCGAAAGCGUGGGGAGCGAACAGG